rnacentral:lncRNA from 1 species
GUAUGAGAAAAUAUGUAUCUGGAUGGCUAAGCCUUUUCUAUAAACUCUAAAGCAUAGUUUAAAUGUCUUGCAGACUCAUCUAUUGCUGAAACUGCUCACCUUCAACAACAAAAUGAACUUCAUAGCAAGAUCUUAUCCCCAAAAUGGCUUAUUCCUAGGAAUAAGGCUUGUUGAGCAGACUUGCGGGCUCUACCCAAGUAACACCCAGCCCAGGACAGCAGAAGUGAGGUAUGUCUGAAAAUGAGGUGGAGAGGAGUAUCAGAACAACAGUGAGUCAGCCAUGAAAUGGAUUUAUGAUUCAGUUUAAUCCUCCUUACCUUUGAAUAUUAUGAGCAAUAUAUGCCAUUAUGAUAGCUAUUAAGGGUGAAACGAUUAAUUAAAACUAUCUGAUAAGACUAAGCAUACUGUCUAACCUGAUUUAAGGCAAAUUCAUCUACUUCAACUAAAAAUACUGAACAGGAAAAUUAAAAAGGUGACUAAGGAAAUAAAAACCCUUUAGGUCUUAUUUCCACUAUAUAUUUCCUAAGUGACCUAAGGAAAGUAUCAUUCAAACAGAGUCACAGUGUAUUUUAAAUUUUUAUUAGUAAGAGUUUGGAGUACAAAUAAAUUUAACUUGACAUUUAGAAAAAAAUGUAUCCAUUAAGGUUUGUUCAUAAAGAAAAACCUGUUCUGUACAUUUUAAUCUCCAAUUUUAAUGCUUAACUCCAUAAUGCUUCUAAGUCUAUAACUUUAGAUUUAAUUUUAACAAUUCUGCCGUAUUACAUCUGG